AUUGAACGCUGGCGGCAGGCUUAACACAUGCAAGUCGAGCGGGGUGAUGGUGCUUGCACUAUCACUUAGCGGCGGACGGGUGAGUAAUGCUUAGGAAUCUGCCUAUUAGUGGGGGACAACAUCUCGAAAGGGAUGCUAAUACCGCAUACGUCCUACGGGAGAAAGCAGGGGAUCACUUGUGACCUUGCGCUAAUAGAUGAGCCUAAGUCGGAUUAGCUAGUUGGUGGGGUAAAGGCCUACCAAGGCGACGAUCUGUAGCGGGUCUGAGAGGAUGAUCCGCCACACUGGGACUGAGACGCGGCCCAGACUCCUACGGGAGGCAGCAGUGGGGAAUUUUGGACAAUGGGGGCAACCCUGAUCCAGCCAUGCCGCGUGCGGGAAGAAGGCCUUCAGGUUGUAAAGCCCUGUCAGGUGGGAGGAAUGGCAUCGGUUCGAAGAGGGUUGAUGCGUGACGGUACCACCAGAGGAAGCACCGGCUAACUCCGUGCCAGCAGCCGCCGUAA
rnacentral:rRNA from 1 species